rnacentral:rRNA from 1 species
CGGCAGGCUUAACACAUGCAAGUCGAGGGGCAGCACGGGUAGCAAUACCGUGGUGGCGACCGGCGCAAGGGUGCGUAACGCGUGAGCAACAUGCCCUAUACAGGGGGAUAAUCCAGGGAAACUUGGUCUAAUAUCCCAUAGUAUUUAGAGGAGGCAUCUUCUAUAAAUUAAAGGCUUCGGUGGUAUAGGAUUGGCUCGCGUGACAUUAGCUAGAUGGUGAGGUAACGGCUCACCAUGGCAAUGAUGUCUAGGGGUUCUGAGAGGAAGGCCCCCCACACUGGGACUGAGACACGGCCCAGACUCCUACGGGAGGCAGCAGUGAGGAAUAUUGGACAAUGGAUGGAAAUCUGAUCCAGCCAUGCCGCGUGCAGGAAGACAGCCCUAUGGGUUGUAAACUGCUUUUAUAUGGGAGCAAUAAGGUCUACGUGUAGACUGAUGAGAGUACCAUAUGAAUUAAGCAUCGGCUAACUCCGUG